rnacentral:rRNA from 1 species
GACGAACGCUGGCGGCGUGCUUAACACAUGCAAGUCGAGCGGUAAGGCCUCUUCGGGGGUCCACGAGCGGCGAACGGGUGCGUAACACGUGGGUGACCUGCCCUCAGCUCUGGGAUAAGCCUGGGAAACUGGGUCUAAUACCGGAUAUGACCUUUCCUCGCAUGGGGUUUGGUGGAAAGUUUUUUCGGCUGGGGAUGGGCCCGCGGCCUAUCAGCUUGUUGGUGGGGUGAUGGCCUACCAAGGCGACGACGGGUAGCCGGCCUGCGGGGGCGACCGGCCACACCGGGAGGGAGGCACGGGCCGGGCACCUGCGGGAGGGGGCAGUGGGGAGUAGUGGGAAAGGGGCGGAAGCCUGACGGGGCGACGCCGCGUGGGGGAUGACGGCCUUCGGGUUGUAAACCUCUUUCGACCCCGACGAAUUUGGACGGUAGGGGUAGAAGAAGCACCGGCUAACUACGUG